rnacentral:lncRNA from 10 species
UGUUCACCAGAUGCUCGAUUAAUCAGAUAUAUUCAGCUUUCUGCAUUCUAGACACAUGGUGGAAGCUGAAAGCAUCAGUGCUUCCUGCUACGUUGUCUUGCAAGUUCUGCAGCGAAUGUUCAUGCAUGCACCAAGCUGAAGUGGCUGUUAGCCUGAGCCACUGAGUUCCGUGACGAUGGAACACCCCACCCAAGCACCGGCCUCUUUUGCACAUGUAGUAUGAGCAAAAAGCAAACUGUUAAGUUACUCAUUUAUUUUACCGUUGUUCAUGCUACACAACCUAGCCUAACCUUAUGGAUAUCUUUCAAAUUGCUGAAACAUCAAGACAAUCUGAAUCCUACUGCUUUAUCCCAGAUGCUGCCACAUUCCUUGCAAUACAGCCCCUUCCACUAUCUUCAAGGUCCUAGCCUGAGUCCUUCCUUGCUCAAUGAGGAGUCUAAAGACCUUUCACGGCUUUGGAGUUAAGAGGGUGAAAGAUACAUCAAAGAAAACCAACAAUAUGAAGAGAUAAGAAUGAGGAAUGCCUGUUGGAUUUGGAACCUCCAAAGGACCCAAAAGCAAGAGAAUAUAAGAGGCCUCCUCAUCACAAAUAAAAGAGCUGAGAGAAAAUGUUUCAAGAUGCUUCACUGGAAAAACUCACCAGGUGCCUGUAACUAAUUUCUCUAAUUGGCAUUCUCACUCUCACAUUCAAAACUUUCACAAUGAACAUACAACACAAUCAAUGAUUACCAGCCAGUAGGGAAGUGGGUCUUAAGUAAUCAAAUAAGAAACUGAGAACAUGCUUUAAAUAGAAAAGAAAGAGAGAAAACACAAAAAUAACUCGUAGUAUUUCCAAAGAAACAAGAGGUGAUCAAAUAUCCACAAAACAAGAACCUUAGCCAAAGCAAAUAAGCAGAAUAAGAAAAAUUUCUUAGAAAUUAAAACAUGGCAUGUCAGAAUCACUUAAGUGCCUAAGUGACAAUAUAUGUUAAAGCCCAAAAUACAGUUAAACAAUAUAUUAUUCAUCUGUGGAAAGAUUUAUGAGCAAAGAAUAUAUAAAGAACUAAUAUGUUGAGUUACAGAUUAGCAUCCCAAGUGCAAUUAACUAUUGUUUUAAUUUAGAAACAUAAUUACAACGCAAAAGGUAAUAUUUUAGUUCUUAGAAAUGUAAUAGGCAAAAGAUGAAAAAGAUACAUACACAUGCAUUAGGCUAUGUAGAUGCUUUAACAUUUCCCUUUCAGAGUAAAAUUCAAGAGAAUUUAAACAAUGAAAUCCACCAAAUGGCCAUUUAAAUAAUUGUGGAAAAAAUUUUAUAUGCCUGCUCAUAUUACAAUUGAAAUUAUCUUGGAAAUUGUUUUCAAAUGAAGAAGACAUUAUUAUUUUUAGAACCUUUUAUUCUAUUUUAUCAAAUGUCACUUAUACUGGUCUUUCAUUAUUCUUCAGGUUAGACACUAUUCAAGGGUAUUAAUGUUGAGGAAAUGGACCCAUUUUUCUUUUACUUACAUGUUAUUUAGAAAUUUGAAAUAAUUUCUCAUAGAAAAAUAUUCAUGUCAUAUUGUCUAUAAAAAUCACUAAAUGUAACUGCUGUAUUUCAUUAUUUUAAGUAAUAUUAUUGAUAUCAUUGGAUUCUUCAUGAAUUUAAAAUAAACCUUUAUUUAACAUGUUGCUUAAAAGUAACAUUGGGUAACUAACCAUAGACUAAUUUGAUUUAAUGCAGAAAGAGAAAAAUAAAAAUAAAACUUUGAAAUUUGAGAAAUGUAAAUGAUUGAUUUUGUAUCAUUUCAGUUUUGUAUCAUACACAUUAAUAAAAGUUUAAUAUUCUGUGCCAUGAAA